rnacentral:lncRNA from 1 species
GAUAAUAGAAUAGAAAUCAUACAGAUAUUCCUUUUUAAAAAAAGGGCGUUUACCUAAGUUGGUUUGCGAGUUUAAAAGAUUCCUUCUUGGCCCGAAAGGCGAGGGUUUUUUUUUUUUUUUUUUUUUUUUUUUUUUAGGAGCUUAUCGCGCCCUAUUUAGAGUCUUUGGCCUUAGUUUUUCAACAAACAGCCACUGCACUGAAAUUAUCACUUUAUUAACACAGAAUUUGGUUGUUUAAAAUGUGCGAUUCCAAUGCUUGGUAGAGUUCCAGAUUAGUUGACAAAAAUCCUUCGGCGCGUGGAGAGUGCAGUGAGUCUGCAGAAAAGAAACAUCGAUGCUCCCGAUUGCGCACCAGACAGUUUGCGAUGCAAAUUCGGCAGGAUUUUUGUCAACCCUACCUUCCGAGAUCGAGGAAGGAAUCUCUGCUGAACAGUCGACUCAAUGAUGUGUACGGUAACGUAAACAAACCCAGGUUUCGCAGCAAUUGUAAACUCGUCCUAAAGCCAAUUAAUCCAGAUUAAUUAUUCUGAAGUGCGGAUUUAUAGUAAAUAACAGUGAAGUAUCAAAUUUACCAUUAUUACGGUUUAAGUCCUCUUUGCUUAAUUUUUUAAGUCAGCUCUCGCUGCUGUGUUCUCCCAUCGUAUCAACAAUUUCAGAGCCAGAAGCAAAGUUGAUUCACUUAAACAAGCGUGAUUCUACCUAUGCAAACAUUCAGAACGAAUUUUUAAGGAUUUAAUAAGACACUUGUAUGCUUUAAUGAAAAAUCUGGACCUUCCUGAACCCACAAAGUAUGUACUCAGCGCUCACCAUUCUAUGGUGUAUUAUAACUUCUUCAUGAAUGCCGUUUUUGCCUUAAGUGUGACAUCAAAUGGAACUGGAAGAAAAGAUAGCUGAAUAUAGAGCCAGAAAAAGAAGAGGUUUACUGGUGAAGAAAGUCCAAAAUUCCGUGAAAGAUGUGUUUUCGUGGCUUCAUGACAAAGUGGAAACUACCAUGAAUGAUCAAGAUGAUAUCAGAGUUGAUGAAAAUGAAACAGAUGAUACUCCUGCUAAUUACAACUCAUCCAGGGAUGCUGUAAUGGAAGAUUUUGGGUCCACCUCGACGGAUGGUGUCGACGAAUAUUUCAUUAACUGGCGGAAAUUCUCCCUUUACGUUCUUUUGUGGUGCUCCCUUUUUGGCCUAGCAGUUUUUGCUGAAUUUGGAGCUGUCUUUGUCAUUCUUUCUGGUUUUGUCAUCAUUUGGGCAAAUACUAGGACCAGUCCCAAAAACCUGGAGAAAUCAGUGCUUACUCUGUAUUCAAUCCCAAUUGUGAAGCAAUCCAAGGCAGUCUAGACGCUAAACAGUUGGAGAGAGAAAUGUUAUAUGGAGGAAUGUAAGAUAGGUUUGUAAUGUGUUAUUGUUGAACACAAAACUUAAUUAUGAGAAUUGGCAUUUGAAACCUCCAAACGAUAUUAUAAAGAUUUGGUUAAAACACGCCAGCUACUUGGCAAAAAUAAUCAGCAAGGUACAGUCUGCUUUAGAAUAAUUAAGUUUGAUUGUACCCAUUGCAGCAGAGGAUUCUUUGCUGUUUUUCUAUGUACAUCCAUUGUAUUUUAAAGAAUGGAAUUCAUCAAAGUAGAAUUGGCAGGGUGCAUCAUUAAAGACCUUCUCACGCAUCCAUUUUCUGCUCGCCCUCUUUAUGAACAAAUAUCUAUCGUAAAUGCUGGGCGGCCAACUCCAGAACUUCCGAAUUUAACUCAUCAAAGUGCAAAAUUUCUAAGGCAUUUCCAAACAACCGUCUACUCAAAAUGUAAUUGGUUGACUGGCAGCCUGAAUUAAAUGCUCUAUUUUGUUGGAAUUGUCUGCUUUUUAGUCAUGACAGACAGAGUAGUUGGACUAAGACAGGAUUCACCAAUCUAAACAAUUUAGUAAAUGCUGUAAAUAGACACGAAGUUACAGUUACUCACCUGCGAGCCUCUUUGUGUUUUUUGACUUUUGGCACAAGUAAAGGAGACGUGCUAUCGGAUAACCAACUGGAUGCUGAGAUAUCAUUGCACAAUCAAAAAGUUCGGCGAAAUAGAGAAAUUUUAAGACGAUUAAUAAUGCUGUGAGCUUUCUGACAAACAAGAGCUUGCAUUUAGAAACAAAGAUAAGGAAGAAAUUUCAAAUAACAGUGGAAACUACAUAGAGCUGCUAAAAUAUACUGGGAAGUAUGAUUCUCUUCUUGCCGAUCACCUGGAAAACCCCACCAAGUUUGAUGGCUCGGCUAUCGAAAUUCAAAUGAGAUUAUUGAGGCGUGUGGUGAAACAAUUUUAAAGGCAAUAAAACAAGAAUUGAAGGAGGCACAUUUCGUCUCCAUCAUAGUAUCUGAAACAACGGAUGUCCCUACUCAAGCACAAUUUUCAAUGGUUCUCCGUUACGUGUACAAAGGAGAAGCCAGAGAAAGAUUCCUUGGAUUUUGUGACAUCGAAGACAAGACUGCCAGAACAAUUGUUGAGAAGAUUCGUCAAUGCUUAACAGAAUUUGAAUGCAAUGAAAAAUUAGUUGCCCAAGCAUAUGAUGGAGCUCUUUUCAUGGCAAAUCAUUUGAAUGGUGUCCAAGCACAACUCAAAGGCACGCACCCCUUUGCGUUUUUUGUUUAUUGCUACGUUUACGAAAUCAAUAAGGUGCUCUCUAAAACGUUACGCUCAUUCCUGAAUGCAAAAUUUUCUUCAGUUCUGCAAGUUUAAUAGCAGCUUUUUUUUCUCAAUCAUCAAGACGUGGAAAAUUUUUGGAUGAAUUUCUUUCCAGGCGACUUCCACAGAUUUGCCCCACAGGGUGGAAUUAUUCAUCUCGACUCAUCAGCACUUUGUGUGGAAACAGGUCUCUUCUUAUAAAUGUUUUUGAAACCAUGCUUGCGUGUCCUGAUGAGGUUGAAGCUGAUAUUUUGGCGUCUGCAAACAGUUUUUUGAGCUUGUUUGAAGACUUCCAGUUCAAUUUCCUUCUGAAAAUGUUCAACAAAAUAUUUGCCUACACAGACCUCCUUCAUGAUGUUUUACAGGAUCAGCUGUCUGACAUCUUAAACUGCCAUCAGACGAUCACUGAUGUCCAACUGAACAUAGCCUCGCUUUAUGAUGAUUUGAAAAUGUUUAUAGAGAUACUGAAGAAUUAGUUGGGGAACCAUCUAAGAAGAAAAGUACGGAUUACAAGCUUUUGUACUACGAAGUGAUUGACACUAUUGUUAAUCAAAUAGAGUUCCUUUUCUUAGAUUAUAGGAAACUCACGUUUCUGAGUCUCCUUUCUCAUCACCAUUUUGGGCGUACGAGCAGACAUUUCCUUAUGACCCUUUUCAGAGUCUUCUUGACAGUUAUGGUAAAUUUUUUGAUGAGGGCCGUCUGAAAAAUGAAUUAAUUGUUGUGUACAGUAGUGAAGAGUUUUCCGAGAAAACCUUGGCAGACAUGGCAAAUAUGCUUAAUGCCAACGCUUUACUUAGAAAUAGUUUUCCUCAGCUAGAUCGACUGGUGUCCUUACUCUACACGGUACCCAUCAGCACCACCUCAGUCAAUAGUUCUGUUUCGACUUUAAGAAGAGUUAAAAAUUACUGUCGAAAUAUCUCAGGGGAAGAACGGAUAUCACAUCUUCCUCUUCUUUCCAUUGAAAGAGAUCUCAUGGCUCAGUUACAAAGUGACAACCAAUUUUAUGAGGAUGUUUACAGCUUUUCUCUCAAAGUGAACAUCGUAAAAUGGAUUUUGACUAUCGGUGAUACCUUCAAUAUUACUCAUGAACUUCAUGUUUUAAAUCUAGAAAAAGCCCGAAAUUAAAAGAAGACUCAUAUUACUUAUUAAAUAGUGAAAAAAAGUAAUUUGUGAUAUUAGAAUGAAUGCUUCAAUCAUGUUCUAAUCCUACUAUGUACAGCAGUUUUCAAUUAUGCCGUUGUUCAAAACAGGUGAAAAACUCGUAGGUACUGAGAAAGUGAACUGAGCUUCGUAAAUUUGGCCCUAUCAACAAACUUAUCAGCAAAUGAUAUGAAAAAUUUAUAAGUUUAAAGUUUUUCAAAUAGAAAAAAUUUCGAAAAUUGAAAAUGUGAAAAUUUGAAAAUUUUGCUGUGAAAAUUUUGUCAACAUCUGUCUGCCGUCAAAAAUUUAUAAUAGACUAAAAGUUUAAAGUUUUCAAGUGUUUCGUUUUUCUCAUUUUGUUAUCUACACUUAAGUGUUACUUCUUUUGUUUUCAUGUCUUUCUUCUUCUGUUACAAUGAGAUCGUAUUGGAAAACAUGUUGUGAUUUCCUAUACAGAUAAGUUAGGUUUCUAUAAUAUUAGUUUUUUUUGUAGUCUUUGAUAGGUAUAUAUGUCGCAGGCAAUUAGUCAAAUCUGGCUAUUGUCAAAUGCAUAGGCAGAUAGUAAAACAUUCAUGCUUAGAUUGAAAUUCUGGCCCACUUGCUAAUUUUAGACAAAAUAAUUCUUUGCUAAUAUAAGAAAUUAUUUGCUAUAAAAAUGGUUAUCAUUCAGUGGUAUCUAUAAUAAUUCUUAGCCUUUGUACCAACAUCUAUCUCAAAAUUUUCAACCUGUCGUAGAAACGGAAUUUUUAAAACACAUGAGCAUCUAAAAAAAAAAUACAAGGGAAGUUCGUAGAUUAUAUACAUUCUACUUUCUACAUGUUCAAAACUCGAAAGGUCUUCGUAAAAAACGUAUUGGAGCUUCUUAAAUUGUCAAUAAUUGAUUAUCUGCCUUUGAUAAAAUGCCUGAUUUGACUAUUUGCCCGCAUAACAUAUAAACUUAAGUACAUAAAGAGGAUUUACCAUGUUGUUGGAAAAUGUUCAGACCAAGGUUUUCCCUUUUCUAAAAAAAGUUUGCAAGGGUAAAACCACCCUUAAAAAUAUUCUACUAAAUUUUAGUUUUGUUUAUGUUAAAAACGCUUUACACAUCAAUGUUGCUAUAAUUAUCAAAGAACUAUCUAAUUCAGGUGAUGUUAGCAUUUUAGGAGUCUGCUUUUUUUUUAUACUGCAAAACAGUUUAACAUAUUUUAUUUUCUUAAUUGUUGACAUUUUGUAAUAGGAUUGGUUUCAUCACUAUUUUGUUAAAAUGCACAUUAUUCGGAGAGAGAGGCCAAACCAAAAGUUUCCAAAAUCAAUGGGUACCAACAUUGUUUGUACCUAGCUUAAAGAAUAUCAUAACCAAUGCAAUAUCACAAUUUUACUAUUUUCAUUUUCCAGAAAAUUCAAUGAUAUUUAUAAAUGAAGGCAAACCCCUUAGAUUAAGAUUUAAAAGAGGGAGAAACCACUUUUACUAAAUUAUAUUUACAAAUGUGAGUGGUGUAGUUAUCUCAUUUUGAUUAGGCUCCGUCAAAAUUUUACUCCCUAAUUUCAGCAAAAAUUUUCUAAUUAAAAAAGAUUCAAUUUUAAAUUUAUGUCCAUGCAUGCCUGAUGAGAAGCCUUUCAUUGAUAGUGAUAAUUUUGAAAACCAUGGGAGUACAUUUCAUUUUUUAUUUGUUUAAAUUUAAGUUAUUUUACUUGUUUCGAUUUACUAUCUCAUUUUCAACUAAGUAUAAUGAACUGAUUUUUAUGCUCGAUAACGUAUUUUCUUAUACCCACUACCAUUUAUGAAACAAGAGGUGCCUGGAAUAACCAGGGCAUGCAGUGCCCUUGUUUAAAGUAGCGACUAAAAACCGCUAAUGAAAGAUUUUGGAACAGGCACAACAACUAUAAGUACCUAGCUAGAUCCUUAGUUGGUCCGCCGAAGAUUUUUAGUAGGUCCUACUGAAAUUUUUUGUCGAAGCAUCUGUUACAAUCGGGAAAAAUUAUCUUACCAUGUAUCUUACAAAGGUGACACUAUGACAAGGGACAUGAAUGAUUUUGCUUUGAUGAAAUGAUGUCCAAACGGAAUUUUUG